UUUUCAAUUUCAUGUUGUACGAACUGAAAAUGGAGUAUCUGACACACAAAGCAGCACCCAGCAAACCAUUCCUUACAGAGCAGUUCUCAUGCAAAAGAAGGAGAAAGAAAUGAUGCAUAUUACAACAGUACAACUUAUUACAUUCUGUCAGCACCUUGUCUGAAGAUUGUUCUUAUGAAGGGAAGAUUUCUCUGGUACAGCCUGGAGCAGUGGAUAUUUCCAGCACCUGUAGUGUGCCACUGCAGCUAUUCCUGUCAUGUUCACAAGGAUACGAACACCUACAUGAAACCAGCCCAGGUCUUGCUCACCUCCAUCUCCCCCAAAAAUAUCAGGAAAGUUAGGAGCAAAAAAACUUUCCAGUGCUGUUUUUUUGAGGACUCAGGAACACAAAAUUUGAUUUACAUUUUUAACUGCUUUAAUGAAAAUGAAAU